rnacentral:rRNA from 1 species
UACGUAGGGCGCAAGCGUUAUCCGGAAUUAUUGGGCGUAAAGAGCUCGUAGGCGGUUUGUCGCGUCUGCCGUGAAAGUCCGGGGCUCAACUCCGGAUCUGCGGUGGGUACGGGCAGACUAGAGUGAUGUAGGGGGAGACUGGAAUUCCUGGUGUAGCGGUGAAAUGCGCAGAUAUCAGGAGGAACACCGAUGGCGAAGGCGGCGACCUGGGCCAAUAUUGACGCUGAGGUGCGAAAGCGUGGGGAGCAAACAGG